rnacentral:lncRNA from 1 species
UUGGCAAAAUCUGUGGCAAAAUGGUUAAAUUCGAUAAGAUUUAUACACAAUUUGUCGAAGGUUAGUAUUAUUGUUUGUUUUAAACUGUGAGGGAAGAUUAAUUGUGAACUAGAACACACCUCUGAGGCUCUGACCGAGUAUUUAGGGAAAUGUGCCUUCAUUGGCUUCGUAUAGCGUUUAUAUUUUUAAAUGUUUUAUGUUUAUGUGUAGUUUUUGAUAUUCUUCAUAGUGGAG